rnacentral:rRNA from 1 species
CUUGACUCUGGAAUAAGCGUUGGAAACGACGUCUAAUACCGGAUACGAGCUUCAGCCGCAUGGCUAGGAGCUGGAAAGAAUUUCGGUCAAGGAUGGACUCGCGGCCUAUCAGGUAGUUGGUGAGGUAAUGGCUCACCAAGCCUACGACGGGUAGCCGGCCUGAGAGGGUGACCGGCCACACUGGAACUGAGACACGGUCCAGACUCCUACGGGAGGCAGCAGUGGGGAAUAUUGCACAAUGGGCGCAAGCCUGAUGCAGCAACGCCGCGUGAGGGACGACGGCCUUCGGGUUGUAAACCUCUUUUAGUAGGGAAGAAGCGAUGUGCUUGUCACAUCAUGACGGUACCUGCAGAAAAAGCACCGGCUAACUACGUGCCAGCAGCCGCGGUAAUACGUAGGGUGCAAGCGUUAUCCGGAAUUAUUGGGCGUAAAGAGCUCGUAGGCGGUUUGUCGCGUCUGCUGUGAAAACUGGGGGCUCAACCCCCAGCCUGCAGUGGGUACGGGCAGACUAGAGUGCGGUAGGGGAGAUUGGAAUUCCUGGUGUAGCGGUGGAAUGCGCAGAUAUCAGGAGGAACACCAAUGGCGAAGGCAGAUCUCUGGGCCGUUACUGACGCUGAGGAGCGAAAGCAUGGGGAGCGAACAGGAUUAGAUACCCUGGUAGUCCAUGCCGUAAACGUUGGGAACUAGAUGUAGGGACCAUUCCACGGUUUCUGUGUCGCAGCUAACGCAUUAAGUUCCCCGCCUGGGGAGUACGGCCGCAAGGCUAAAACUCAAAGGAAUUGACGGGGGCCCGCACAAGCGGCGGAGCAUGCGGAUUAAUUCGAUGCAACGCGAAGAACCUUACCAAGACUUGACAUAUACGAGAACGGGCUAGAAAUAGUUCACUCUUUGGACACUCGUAAACAGGUGGUGCAUGGUUGUCGUCAGCUCGUGUCGUGAGAUGUUGGGGUUAAGUCCCG